UAGCUGCGUUAUGUAGCGCGAAUUGCAGACACAUUGAGCGCUAAGAUUUCGAACGCACAUUGCGCCUUCGGGUUCAUUCCCGUUGGCACGUCUGGCUGAGGGUCGAUCGUGUAUGAAACUAGCAUAUCGCCUUGGCCUGUCAAAAGGCGAUUUAUGAGCAAAAGUCUCGCGUAUGUUUGAGUGCUUUGUUCAUCUCUCUCGUGUUGCUGCCCAUGCUUGAAAGCAGGUUGGCAUUCACAUCGUAGACCUCAGCUCAGUCGUGAUUACCCGCUGAAUUUAA
rnacentral:misc_RNA from 1 species